AUUGAACGCUGGCGGCAGGCCUAACACAUGCAAGUCGAACGAGUGGCGGACGGGUGAGUAAUGUCUGGGAAAGUGCCUUAGGGAGGGGGAUAACUACUGGGAACGGUAGCUAAUACCGCAUACCAUCAGAUGUGCCCAGAUGGGAUGCGGUUGUUGGGGGGGUAAGGGCUCACCAAGGCGACGAUCCCUAGCUGGUCUGAGAGGAUGACCAGCCACCUUGGAACUGAGCCACGGUCCAGACUCCUACGGGAGGCAGCAGUGGGGAAUAUUGCACAAUGGGCGCAGGCGUGAUGCAGCAAGGCCGCGUGGAUGAAGAAGCCCUUCGGGUUGUAAAGUACUUUCAGCGGGGAGGCGUUACCCGCAGAAGAAGCACCGGCUAACUCCGUGCCAGCAGCCGCGGUAAUAC
rnacentral:rRNA from 1 species